CCAAAUUGCAAUCCAAUUUCAAUCCAAAUCCGUAGUGUGACAUAGGCUUUACGUUGCAUGAUGCACAAUCUGCACAAUCAACCUCCAGGAAAUAGUCAGGAUGAACAGAUUACUCGAAGUGCUGCUAUAUAUGGGCAACAGAGAUGUUUUAAAAAGUGAAGGAGAAAGGUAAAUACCAGAAAAGUCUGUUUUUUGUUUCAAAGACUGCCACAAUUGGGAAUGUUUCAGAGAUUGUGUAUCUUCCAGAUAUAAAUUAUUAUUACUUAUUUUUUUUAGUAAUAUUUAACUUGUUACAAAAAUUAAAGCUUGCACAUAUGUACUCAUUUUAUAGA